rnacentral:rRNA from 1 species
AUUGAACGCUGGCGGCAGGCCUAACACAUGCAAGUCGAACGAGUGGCGGACGGGUGAGUAAUGUCUGGGAAACUGGCUGAUGGAGGGGGAUAACGAGUGGAAACGGUAGCUAAUACUGCAUACCAUGCGUUCGGCCGAGAUGGGUUUAGCUAGUAGGUGGGGUAAAGGCUCACCUAGGCGACGAUCCCUAGCUGGUCUGAGAGGGUGACCAGCCACACUGGAACUGAGACACGGUCCAGACUCCUACGGGAGGCAGCAGUGGGGAAUAUUGCACAAUGGGCGAAAGCCUGAUGCAGCAAUGCCGCGUGAAUGAAGAAGGCCUUCGGUUUGUAAAGCACUUUAAGUUGGGAGGCGUUACCAACAGAGUAAGCACCGGCUAACUACGUGCCAGCAGCCGCGGUAAUUC